GAUCAUUAUCGAAUAAACUUGAGCAUGCUGUUUGCUGGCCCCUGCCCUGGGGUAUGUGCACGCUUGUUCUUUGUUAUUUCUCCAACCUGUGCACAUUUUGUAGACCCUGGAGAUUUUAUGAAUUUUGAUUCGAUUCGGGACUGCUGAUGCUUCCCUUUGUUGAAGCCGGCUUUGCCUUGCACCUCCAGGUCUAUGUCAUUUUUCACAACCUCUUUUUAAAAAAACAUGUUUGGAAAAAAUAUAAAUGAAAUAUACAACUUUCAGCAACGGAUCUCUUGGCUCUCGCAUCGAUGAAGAACGCAGCGAAAUGCGAUAAGUAAUGUGAAUUGCAGAAUUCAGUGAAUCAUCGAAUCUUUGAACGCAUCUUGCGCUCCUUGGUAUUCCGAGGAGCAUGCCUGUUUGAGUGUCAUUUAACUUCUCAACCACAUCAGAUGUAUUUUUGAUGUGGCUUGGAUUUGGGGGUCGUUUGCAGGCUUUUCUGUGAAAAGAAAGGUCGGCUCCCCUGAAAAGUAUUAGUGGUAUCUGAGCUACUGCUAUAGGUGUGAUAAUUAUCUAUGCCUUUGGUAUGCUGCAUGAAACAGAUUG
rnacentral:rRNA from 1 species